rnacentral:rRNA from 1 species
GAUGAACGCUGGCGGCGUGCUUAACACAUGCAAGUCGAACGGAAAGGCCCAAGCUUGCUUGGGUACUCGAGUGGCGAACGGGUGAGUAACACGUGGGUGAUCUGCCCUUCACUUCGGGAUAAGCCUGGGAAACUGGGGCUAAUACCGGAUAGGACCACAUUUUGGAUGGUGUGGUGGAAAGUUUUUCGGUGUGGGAUGAGCCCGCGGCCUAUCAGCUUGUUGGUGGGGUAAUGGCCUACCAAGGCGUCGGCGGGUAGCCGGCCUGAGAGGGUGUACGGCCACAUUGGGGCUGGGAUAAGGCCCAGAAUCCCACGGGGGGCAGCAGGGGGGGAUAUUGCACAAUGGGCGGAAGCCUGAUGCCGCGACGCCGGGUGGGGGAUGAAGGCCUUCGGGUUGUAAACCCCUUUCGCUAGGGACGAAGCGUUAUGUGACGGUAACUGGAGAAGAAGCACCGGCUAACUACGUG